GGAGGCGUCGCAUAGCGGUCUAGUGCGGCUGCUUGGAGAGCAGCUAUGCCAGAAAUGGCAUCAGAGGUUCGAAUCCUCUCGCCUCCG
rnacentral:tRNA from 2 species